GAUGAACGCUGGCGGCGUGCCUAAUACAUGCAAGUCGAGGGAACAGACGAGGAGCUUGCGCCACUGACGAUAGCGGCGGACGGGCGAGUAACAAAUGGAUAACCUACCUAUAUGACUGGGAUAACUACGGGAAACCGGGGCUAAUAACGGAUAAUAAAUUGACCCCCUUGGUUAAAUAGUGAAAGACGGUUUUGCUGUCACUUAUAGAUGGAUCCGCGCCGCAUUAGUUAGUUGGUAGGUAAACGGCUCCCAAGGCAACGAGGCGUAGCCGACCUGAGAGGGUGAUCGGCCACACUGGAACGGAGACACGGUCCAGACCCCUCCGGUAGGCAGCAGUAGGGUAUCUUCCGCAAUGGGCGAAAGCCGGACGGAGCAACGCCACGUGAGGGGUGAAGGUCUUCGGAUCGUAAAUCUCUGUUAUUAGGGAAGAACAAAUGUGUAAGUAACUAUGCACGUCUUGACGGUACCUAAUCAGAAAGCCACGGCUAACUACGUG
rnacentral:rRNA from 1 species